GACCAAGCUCCGUGCUUCAUUAUUAUUCCAUAGAGCAUCAUCAAAUGCUAUGGAAUGUAAAGAAGUAUGGAGCGAGCUU
rnacentral:pre_miRNA from 1 species